AGGACAUUCAUCUGCAGAUAGCUAGGUGGACCAGUCAUAGUCAGGACAUUCAUCUGCAGAUAGCUAGGUGGACCAGUCAUAGUCAGUACAUUCAUCUUCAGAUAGCUAGGUGGACCAGUCAUAGUCAGGACAUUCAUCUGCAGAUAGCUAGGUGGACCAGUCAUAGUCAGUACAUUCAUCUCCAGAUAGCUAGGUGGACCAGUCAUAGUCAGGACAUUCAUCUGCAGAUAGCUAGGUGGACCAGUCAUAGUCAGGACAUUCAUCUGCAGAUAGCUAGGUGGACCAGUCAUAGUCAGUACAUUCAUCUCCAGAUAGCUAGGUGGACCAGUCAUAGUCAGUACAUUCAUCUCCAGAUAGCUAGGUGGACCAGUCAUAGUCAGUACAUUCAUCUCCAGAUAGCUAGGUGGACCAGUCAUAGUCAGUACAUUCAUCUCCAGAUAGCUAGGUGGACCAGUCAUAGUCAGUACAUUCAUCACCAGAUAGCUAGGUGGACCAGUCAUAGUCAGUACAUUCAUCUCCAGAUAGCUAGG